rnacentral:rRNA from 1 species
UAGCAUAAUCAUUAGUUUUUUAAUUGGAAACUCGUAUGAAUGGUUGGACAAAGAAAAAUCUGUCUCUUUUAUUAAAAUUGAAUUUGACUUUUAAGUGAAAAGGCUUAAAUUUUCUAGAGGGACGAUAAGACCCUAUAAAGCUUUAUAAAUUCGAUAAUUUUGCAAAUUUGUACAAAUAAAAGUAAUUUUGAAAAAUUUAUUUGGUUGGGGCGACAAAAGUAUAAUUAAAAUAACUGCUAGAAUUUCAAACAAUAAUUUUUGAUUUAGGUUUGUAAAUGAUCCCUUAUAAGGAUUAAAAGAUCAAGUUACUUUAGGGAUAACAGCGUAAUCUUUUUUGAGAGUGCUUAUCAAAAAAAGGCUUGCGACCUC